rnacentral:lncRNA from 1 species
GUGGAAGAGUUAUUCAUCCAAGCCCAGCACAGAAGGGCCCCAAAGCGGAAUUUCUCCAGAAGCCGCUGGCCCAGCGCUCAGGCCUCGCAGGCUCCAGCUCAAACCCACACAGCAUCAGAGGUUCCCCUAGGCGGCCCUUCCUGCAGCUCCCUGCCACGUUGACUGACUGCUUUUCCUGCCUGGGGAAUGAGCCCUUUCUCCUUUCUAUGACCAAAAGCUGUGCGGCCACCUGCUACGCUGGAUAGAUGAGCCCAUGACACCACCCAGUGAUUGCCUGUGUAGUGUGAGGUCGAUGACACCCACACGGGCCCCUUCACGUAGGCAAGCCGCUGUCAUGUGCCCUCUGCAACCUGGGACUCCUGCCUGCUCUGCUGUGAUACAGGGCUAGUGCCCUUCCUCCCUAGGCAUGGCUCAGGUCCCAGAAGCCACACUCGUCACAGGUGGAAGGAUGGCAGUGUUCU